rnacentral:rRNA from 1 species
UGGGGAAUCUUGCACAAUGGGCGAAAGCCUGAUGCAGCGACGCCGCGUGCGGGAUGAAGGCCUUCGGGUUGUAAACCGCUUUCAGCAGGGACGAGGCGAAAGUGACGGUACCUGCAGAAGAAGCCCCGGCUAACUACGUGCCAGCAGCCGCGGUAAUACGUAGGGGGCAAGCGUUAUCCGGAUUCAUUGGGCGUAAAGCGCUCGUAGGCGGUCUGUUAGGUCGGGAGUUAAAUCCGGGGGCUCAACCCCCGUUCGCUCCCGAUACCGGCAGACUUGAGUUUGGUAGGGGAAGGUGGAAUUCCUAGUGUAGCGGUGGAAUGCGCAGAUAUUAGGAAGAACACCAGUGGCGAAGGCGGCCUUCUGGGCCAUAACUGACGCUGAGGAGCGAAAGCUAGGGGAGCAAACAGGAUUAGAUACCCUGGUAGUCCUAGCCGUAAACGAUGGACACUAGGUGUGGGGGGAAUAUUUCUUCCGUGCCGCAGCUAACGCAUUAAGUGUCCCGCCUGGGGAGUACGGCCGCAAGGCUA